UACGUAGGUGACCAGCGUUGUCCGGAUUUACUGGGCGUAAAGAGCGCGCAGGCGGUCGUUCAAGUCGAGUGUGAAAGCCCCCGGCUCAACUGGGGAGGGUCACUCGAUACUGAUCGACUUGAAGGCAGGAGAGGGAAGCGGAAUUCCCGGUGUAGUGGUGAAAUGCGUAGAGAUCGGGAGGAACAUCAGUGGCGAAGGCGGCCAUCUGGGACAACACUGACGCUGAAGCACGAAAGCGUGGGGAGCAAACAGG
rnacentral:rRNA from 1 species